CAUGUAUAAUAAAAACAUAUAGAAAAGAAAUGCGAAGAAAUUUGAGGAUCGAAGAUCACUGGACAGUUGAGGGAAUUAGGCUUUGGUAAAAGUGACACUUAAGUUGAGAUUUUGAGGAAGGAAAUAAAAAGUGCAAAGGGCAGGAAUGGGAGCUGGAAAGUCUCUUACAGAAAACAGCAAGUAACAUGAUUUGGCUGUAACGUAGGAGACUUAAAGACAACCCACAAAGCAGAUUGUGAAGGACUUGAAAUGCCAAGCAGGGAGUUUGUAUUUCAUUCUACAGGCAAUAGGACUCCACCACAGCUUUUUAAAGAAAGAAAAUUUCCAUAGUUAGCUCUGUUCUUUGAAAUCAUUCAUUAGGCAGUUCUGUAGAAAGCAGUUUUGAGAAGAGUGAGACUGCAUGCAAGAAGUCCAAUGAAGAAGCUACUGCAGUAAUCCAGAAGAUCAAAACAGGGCUAAUACAAAUGAUUGCAGUUGAACAUCAUGGAACUCCCCUGCUGUGCCAGACCAAGUUCCUGGAGCCUGUUCUUAAUGAUAGACAAGCUGUUCCUCAUCCACACAACUGCAGGGCACUGAGCCAUCCAAAAGUUGCAUGAACGUCCUAUGGAGAGGAGCUACCUUAGCAGCAUCCCAGACUGAAACUCACUUUCUAUGGAUGAAGAUAACUAUAGGUGUUGUGAGAUGGAACUGAAUGUCAUCAGCGAGACACCAUGUCCAGCUAUUGCAUUGAAAACAGAAAGAAAGAAAAAGUCACUUCUUUCUCACACUUUUCAGCAAAAAUAAACUUCCUAAAAGUGCAGCUUUUCUGAACUGCUCUGGCCAUGAGAAGGAGGUGCUAACGGGGCAUGUUUGGACAGCUGCUGAACACUUCUGUGGGCAAGUUGUCUCCAGUGGGGCUGAAAGGAUGUUUGGGCAGCUGGUGGGUCAUUCUGUGGGCAAGUUUUUCCCUUUGAGAGAGUAGGGGGAAUAUGUGUAGCCAUGUUCAGAGCUAAAUCUGACUGGGAUUCUGCUAAAGAGACAGCUUAGGGGAGAGACAAUAAGCAACUUUUCCCUCAAAACAGUCCUGCAGCCCACUCUCUAUGUACCUUGUGGUUUUCCCUGGCUCAACUCACAUAGUAUAAUAAUUCCUGUUCCUUGCUUAAUAAAUCCCGGGCAGACAUCCUCCCGCUUUUAAACUUUCAAUAUCAAUGGGGUCCCCCAUUAUCUCAAGUAGGGACAAGUUCAGUUGCAGGGGGAAAAAAAUCUCCUCUGGUGGGAUCAAUAUACAUGUCUUAACUGUUUGGAAAAUAAGUAUACAAAUUCCUAAUACUUGAAAAAUAUGUAUAUGUAUCCCUGAUGGUACUUAUAAUCUAGUGUUUGAUUAGAGAAUGAAAAAAAAUGCUCUCUGGAUUCAUAUUAUGCCAUCUUCUGCAAGAGAGUAGAUGUGGAUAGCAUUGGGUAGCCUGACACCAUCACCACAAUCUCCAUCACUACCAGUACUAUCACUACCACUAAUGCUACCAUUACUCCCAGCUAAAUUUGCUCUAGAUAUAAAUAUUUCUAAACAUUGUUUUGGCUAUUCAGCCACUAUUUGGUAUCAGAAGAUGAGCAGAAACUCAUGUUCAUCCUAAAAUGCACAGGAAAAAUGAGUCAUAAAAAAGCGAGAAGAUAAGACAUUCAUUCAUUACUCACUCAAAAAAUUGUAAUAAACACUAACUGCAAGCAUGGAAUAUCACUGUGGUGAUCCUUUAAUGUCCUAGAUGUGGUACAAUCAUCACAGUAUCACCUACUCAUAGGAGCAUCCAGAGAACUUCUCCAUUUAUAGGGAUUCCCUCUUCCAUUUGGAGAUUGCACAUUUUUCAUGAAUAGGCAAACACCUUUGUUGAAUAUUCAUUUUUUUGUGCUUCACUUGGCAAUAAGGGGGUCACUGAGCAGAAGAAUAUUUGGAGAUUGUGAUCAUUACAAUUCAUUUGUUCCUCCUAAUUCCCUUAUAGUUAGCAAAUUCCCACCAUCUGUUACUCUCUUUAUUCUCAUAUUACUUAAUCAUCUCCUUGUAUAGGAGUAAACCAAGUGCCAGCUUAUUACAAUUACAAUUUUAUCCCCAAGUUCCACAUCAACUUUGUCUACCUUUUCCACUGCGCCCUCUGAAAUUCCAAUGCCAUAUUGAACAAACUUGCCUUCAUUGUGCAUCUCUUCCUUCCCUGCUCCUUCUUCAUUCUGGAACUCAUAAAGCUCUAAGUCCCUCUCGAUGACACUGCCUCCCUAGUAAUCCUAUAUAUGUUCUUGAUACCAUUCUCUUCAAUCUUUGUCAUCUAACUCCUCCCUUCAAUCAUUCCCUUCCUUUCUCUAAUCUUCACUUUCUGUCUUUGCACUUUUUCCUUCCUUUGCACAAGCAUAGCCAACUGUCUGUGGCUUUAUAAAAAAUUCUCUAACCCUACCACUCUCUUGAGUUUUUAAUCCUACAUUUUUUCUCCUCUUCUUAGCCAAAUUUCUAGAAAAAAUAAACUGCAGCCACCAUUUCCACUUACUCUUCUUUCCUAGUCGUUCUUCAAUCUCUUGCAAUCUGGCUUUCAAACACAUCAUUCAACUGAAACUAUUUCUCCAAAGUUUCCAACAAUGUCUUAAUUGUCAAACCAGAUGGUCUCUUCUCAUUUCUAUCCUUCUUGACUUCUGCUGAAUAUUACAAUAUUGAUGACUCUUCUCCUCCUUCUCUCCUCUCUGGUGUUUAAUGACACAUUACUUUUUCCUGGUUCCCAUUCUAACUGCAAUAAAGAACUAUUUCUUCUCAGUUUCUUUUGCUGGACCAGCAUCCAUAUAAAAUUCCCUAAAUGUGGGUGUUUUUCCAGUGCUCUAGCUUUGCCCUUCCUUCCCUUUACAUACUUUCUCUUAUGGUAACCUUAUCAGCUCCUGUGUGUUUAAUUUAUUAUCAUCUAUAAGCAAAAACUCACAGAUUUCUAUAACCAAUCCCAAAUUCUUUACUGAUCUUCAGUUUUGAAUGACAUUUCAAAGUAGAUGCCCCAGAGAAACUUCAUAUUCAAUGUGUAUAAGUAGAAUUUAUUACCUUUCUCCUACAGCCUAUCUAUCUUCCAACAAUCCCUAUUUAUGUGAAGGGGCCUCCAUUUUUCUAAUCUCCUAAGAUUGUAAGCUUGACUCCUCACAAAGUUACAUCCCAUAUCCAAUUGGAUGGAAAAUUUUGCCAUUUCUACUCACACAAUAUUUUUUGUAUCUGAUGCCUUUUCUUUACUUACAGCACCAUGCUGUUUUGGGCCCUCUUCAUAUUUCAUCUAAACUAAGUAACGCAAUGUUUUCUUAAUUGGUCUAUAUCAAGCCUUUCAUUAUUCUUUUUGCUGCAAUCCAUCUUUCACACUAUUGCAAAAGUGAUUUUUCUUAAGUACAGAUCUGAGCAUUUCAUACUGCUACUCAAAAUAUGCCAGUGGUCACCUUUGGCCUGUAGGAUAAGAUGUUUGGAUUUUAAAUCCCUUCUCAAUUUGACCUCAAUCUGUCUUUCCAGACUGAUUACAUAUAAAUUCCUUUUCCCCUUAACCCUACAAACCAUCCUAACACCCACACUCUGUUACUGAUGCAUGAUACUCCAUCUUUCAUUUGCAGGUCUUUGCAUAGGGAGUCUAGCUAUCUCCCAUACAUAAAACGAACUUAUUCCUGACCACCAAUGUAAUUUUUACACAAAAAUAUAAAAACUUCCUAGCUUAAUUUAUAUUUUAGUGCAUAUAAAUUACCCAACAAUCAUAAGAUAGAGUUAAAAAUAAUAAUAAAAUUCAUCUGGAGGAGCAAAGGUCAAGACUCUUAAAGGGAAAUGAUGAAAAAACAUAGUAAGGUGAUGGACUUGGUUCUUUUCAACAAUGAGGAGAUUCAGACCAAUUCUAAUACAUUCUGAUGGAGAGAGUUAUCUGCAUCCAGAGAGAGGAGUUUGGUUAUUGAAUGUGGAUCACAACAGUAUUUUCACCUUUUUUGAGGUUGUUAUUGUUGCUUGUUUGUUUUUUUCUCAUUUUUUCACUUUUGAUUUGAUUUUUCUUGUGCAGCAUGAUAAACAUAUAUUUAUAUGGAAAUAUAUUUAGAAGAAACACAUGUUUAAACCUAUCUAUAUUAGAUUACUUGCUGUCUAAGGGAGAAAGAAAGUGAGGAGGGCGGGAGAAAAAUUUGGAACACAAAGCUUUGCAUGGGUGAAUGCUAAACACUAUCUUUGAAUGUAUUUUAAAAAUAAAAAAAGUUAUUAUGAAAAUAAAUAAAUACAUUAAAACAAAUAAAAGAAAGAAAAACAUAGUAAGAACAAGAGUCUAGUAAUACCAGUCUCAAACUAUAUAAGGUAACAAUCAUUAAAAUUAUUAAGUAAUGACCAAAAAAAUAGAAAAGUUGAUCAAUGGAACAGAUCAGUAACACAAUACACAAAGGCCAACAAAAACAAUGGCAUAGAGUUUGAUAAAACCACAAACCACAACUCCUGAAACAAAUGUCUCACUCUUCAACAAAAACUGCUGAGAAAAUAGGAAAGAAGUCUGGUAGAAAUUUAGACCAACUUUUCAUACCAUAUAUCAAGAUAAGUGCAAGAUGGACACAAAACUUAGAUAUAGAAAAUCACAUUAUGAACAAAUAAGAAGCAAAGAAAAAUUAUCUAUCAUAUCUAUGGAUAAGGAAAGAGUGCCUAACAGGAAGAACAGAGAAAAAUCACAUCAGAAAAUAGACAAUUUUUAUUGCAUAAAAUUAAAAGUUUUGUAGAAACAAAAUCAAUGUAGUUAAAAUAAGAAAGGAAACACUAGGGAAAUAUUUUUGCAGCAAGUUUUUCUGAUAAUCUGAUGUGUAAAAUCUGAUUCAAUUAUAUAACAAGAGCUAUUCCCUAACAAACAAAUAGACAAAUAAUAUGUACAAGUAAUUCUCAGAGGAAUAAACCCAACCUAUCAACAAACAUAUGAAAAAAAUACUUCAAAUUAACAAUAAUUAGAGAUAGAAAUUGAAACAAUACUUAGAAUCAGCCGCAAGUCCCUCAGAUUAGCAAAAAUGAUAAUCAUGGUGAUAAUGACAAUGACAAUGACUAUGGUCAUUGUAUUGAUCAUAGUUUUAAAGUCUUUAUUUUUCUUUAUAGUAUAAUUGUUCUUGUAUUACUCUCUAGGUUGUGUUUACUUUAUUCUACAUUAGCUCAAGUUUUCCCAGGUUUCCCUGAAAUUGUUUUUUCUUACACCUUUUAAAAUUUUUUAUUUUAAAGUUCCAAAUUUUCUCCUUCUCUUCAUCCUUUUCCUAUUCAUUGAGAAGGUAAUAUAUACAGUACCCAUUAUACAUAUACAUUUCAUCAAUUCUUAAGAGCUAUUAAUAUUUAUUAGAUUUACAUACCAUAAUUUAUUUGGGCAUUUCUCAAUUGAUUGCUACAAUAAAAAGUACUUCUUUAGAUACUUUUUAUGUAUGGGUUCUUUUUCUAUUUUCUUAUUUUUUUGGGGGGUAUAGGUCUAAUGGUGAUAUAUGUGUGUCAAAACUUAUGCAUAUUUUAGCAACUUUUGGGAACAGUUUUCAAAGUGGCUGCACCAAUUUACAGUUCCAGUAACAAUGCAUUAAUGUAACUGUUUUCCUGCAAUAUUAAAUUAAAAGUCAAAUUAACAUAUAAUAUAUAAUUAGUUGCAAAACUAAAAGUUUUCUAUAAAUGCCAUUAUUAUUAUUAUUACAUACAAUUAUAAAAGGCCCUAAGAUUUUUGCCUUCUCUACUUAGUUUUUUUUCUGCCUAAUUCAAUUCUUACUCUGGUCUUUGUGUUGGUUUGAUUCUAGUUCAGAACCAUGGAAUCAGAUAAUCAACACUACCUUUCAAAGUCCACCAGAAGCUGCUGUUUUAGCCAUCACUGUUGCAUGCAAGAGUUUGAGGCAUUCCUUCCCAGGGUCUCUUCUACAACACUACGAGACAGUUAAUCUGUGAACUUCUUCUCUGGCUCAAUAGUCAUGGCUGGAGAAAGGCUGUCUUAUAUCUUCCAACAAAGUUGAAGGUGUUUUCCUUACUUGGACUCCCAAAAUGUCUUUCUCCAUUCAAGCCUACCUGAAUGAAAACCACUGUUUUUCAAUUUUCUUUUGCCAUCUUUCAUUUCAUUAAAGAUGUAUCUUAGAUCAUAAUCUCUUCUGGACUAUUAUAUCAGCCUUUUAACCCACCGUCCUGUCUUCAAUGUCUCUUCUCUCCAAUUCCUCUUUCAUACAGAACAAUAUUUCUAAAACACAGUUUGGACACAUCACUUCUUUGUUCAAUUAACUGCUGUGGCUCUGUUGUUCCUGGGAUCUUUUACAAAUUUCUCUCUUUACCAUUUAAAGCUCUUGACAAGUUGAAUUCAACCUACCUUUCUUGCCCCCUUCAUUCAUCCCAGUCCAAACUAACUUUUAUAUUGUUCCUCAUGAAUAAUAUUCCAUAAUCCGCUACACCUUUGCAUUGGCUAUCCCUUAUGUCUGGAAUGAAUCCCCUCCUCACCUCUACCUCCUAAAAUCCCAAGUUCCCUUCAAACCUCAACUUAAACACUAUCUCCUUCCUAUAUGGGAUCUUUCCUUAUUUCAUAUAUCUGACUAAAAUUACUGUGUAUGUAUAAAUUUCUUUUAAAUGUGUGUGUGUGUAACCUAUUCAACAUGUAAAGGACUGCUUGCCAUCUGGGGGAGAGAGUGGAGGGAAGGAGGGGAAAAAUCGGAACAGAAGUGAGUGCAAGGGAUAAUGCUGUAAAAAAUUACCCUGGCAUGGGUUCUGUCAAUAAAAGUUAUUAAAAAUAAAAAAUAAAAAAAAAUA